rnacentral:rRNA from 1 species
AACGAACGCUGGCGGCAUGCCUAACACAUGCAAGUCGAACGAGACCUUCGGGUCUAUUGGCGCACGGGUGCGUAACGGGUGGGAACCUGCCCUUAUGUUGGGCAUAACUCCCCGAAGGGGAUGCUAAUACCGAAUAAUGGCUUCGGCCCAAAGAUUUAUCGCAUUUGGAUGGGCCCGCGUUGGAUUAGCUAUUUGGUAGGGUCAAAGCCUACCAAGGCUACGAUGCCUAGAUGGUAUGAGAGGCUGGUCAGCCACACUGGGACUGAGACACGGCCCAGACUCUUACGGGUGGAAGGAGUGGGGAAUGUUGGACAACGGGCGAGAGCCUGAGCCAGUAAUGCCGCGAGAGUCAUGAAGGCGUGAGGGUUGUGAAGCACUUUUGCAAGGGAUCAUAAUGACAGUAUCGUGCGAAUAAGAUACGGCUAACUACGUG